rnacentral:tRNA from 1 species
GCCUGUGUGGCUCAGUUGUUCAAGCAUCUGACUUCAGCUCAGGUCAUGAUCUCAUGGUUUGUGAGUUCGAGCCCCACGUCAGGCU